rnacentral:sRNA from 1 species
UCUAAAAUAUCUUGGGUGCUAGUUGAACUGAACUCAACA